AUUGAACGCUGGCGGCAUGCCUUACACAUGCAAGUCGAACGGCAGCGCGGGAGCAAUCCUGGUGGCGAGUGGCGAACGGGUGAGUAAUGUAUCGGAACGUGCCCAGUCGUGGGGGAUAACGUAGCGAAAGCUACGCUAAUACCGCAUACGAUCUAUGGAUGAAAGCGGGGGAUCGCAAGACCUCCCGCGAUUGGAGCGGCCGAUAUCAGAUUAGGUAGUUGGUGGGGUAAAGGCUCACCAAGCCGACGAUCUGUAGCUGGUCUGAGAGGACGACCAGCCACACGGGGACUGAGACACGGCCCAGACUCCUACGGGAGGCAGCAGUGGGGAAUUUUGGACAAUGGGCGCAAGCCUGAUCCAGCAAUGCCGCGUGCAGGAUGAAGGCCUUCGGGUUGUAAACUGCUUUUGUACGGAGCGAAAAGGCUCUCUCUAAUACAGGGGGCUCAUGACGGUACCGUAAGAAUAAGCACCGGCUAACUACGUGCCAGCCGCCGCCGUAACAC
rnacentral:rRNA from 1 species